UACGGAGGGUGCAAGCGUUAUCCGGAUUCACUGGGUUUAAAGGGUGCGUAGGAGGGCAGGUAAGUCAGUGGUGAAAUCUCCAAGCUUAACUUGGAAACUGCCGUUGAUACUAUCUGUCUUGAAUGUUGUGGAGGUGAGCGGAAUAUGUCAUGUAGCGGUGAAAUGCUUAGAUAUGACAUAGAACACCAAUUGCGAAGGCAGCUCACUACACAAACAUUGACGCUGAGGCACGAAAGCGUGGGGAUCAAACAGG
rnacentral:rRNA from 1 species